AUUGAACGCUGGCGGCAGGCCUAACACAUGCAAGUCGAACGAGUGGCGGACGGGUGAGUAAUGACUGGGAAACUGCCUGAUGGAGGGGGAUAACUACUGGAAACGGUAGCUAAUACCGCCUACCAUACGAUGUGCCCAGAGGGGAUGAGAUUGUUGGUGGGGUAACGGCUCACAAAGGCGACGAUCCCUAGCUGGUCGGAGAGGAUGACCAGCCACACUGGAACUGAGACACGGUCCAGACUCCGACGGGAGGCAGCAGUGGGGAAUAUUGCACAAUGGGCGCAAGCCUGAUGCAGCCAUGCCGCGUGUAUGAAGAAGGCCUUCGGGUUGUAAAGUACUUUCAGCUGGGAGGCGUUACCCGCAGAAGAAGCACCGGCUAACUCCGUGCCAGCAGCCGCGGUAAUUC
rnacentral:rRNA from 1 species